AUCAGAAGUGCGAAUGCUGACAUAAGUAACGAUAAAGCGGGUGAAAAGCCCGCUCGCCGGAAGACCAAGGGUUCCUGUCCAACGUUAAUCGGGGCAGGGUGAGUCGACCCCUAAGGCGAGGCCGAAAGGCGUAGUCGAUGGGAAACAGGUUAAUAUUCCUGUACUUGGUGUUACUGCGAAGGGGGGACGGAGAAGGCUAUGUUGGCCGGGCGACGGUUGUCCCGGUUUAAGCGUGUAGGCUGGUUUUCCAGGCAAAUCCGGAAAAUCAAGGCUGAGGCGUGAUGACGAGGCACUACGGUGCUGAAGCAACAAAUGCCCUGCUUCCAGGAAAAGCCUCUAAGCAUCAGGUAACAUCAAAUCGUACCCCAAACCGACACAGGUGGUCAGGUAGAGAAUACCAAGGCGCUUGAGAGAACUCGGGUGAAGGAACUAGGCAAAAUGGUGCCGUAACUUCGGGAGAAGGCACGCUGAUAUGUAGGUGAAGUCCCUCGCGGAUGGAGCUGAAAUCAGUCGAAGAUACCAGCUGGCUGCAACUGUUUAUUAAAAACACAGCACUGUGCAAACACGAAAGUGGACGUAUACGGUGUGACGCCUGCCCGGUGCCGGAAGGUUAAUUGAUGGGGUUAGCCGCAAGGCGAAGCUCUUGAUCGAAGCCC
rnacentral:rRNA from 1 species